GCCUGUUUGAGAAUCACACUAUCAUUGAUCCGAUUGCACCACGUGCAGUUGGUCGACAUGGGCCUUCAGCACUGAUCGCCUCGAAUUGCUCGCGAUCGUCGUGAUAUGACAGGGUGUGGCAGCGAUGCGUCCAGUGUUGUCGACGAUCAUCAACCCGUGCUCGUGAUCUCAAAUCAGGCAAGGCUACCCGCUGAACUUAA
rnacentral:misc_RNA from 1 species